CAAACUGCUAAACGCUGCUACUCUAUAUAUCCUAUAGUGCUGUUAUGACUUAGCCUUCUUCGUCAUAAUCUUCCUCAUCCUCGUCUAUCCUCUUACCCAGACUAGCAAGCUGUGCUGGAUCCAUUUUGCUUAUGUCCAUCAUAGGCCAGCCCGAAUACUCCUCAGAGUCUGUUGCUGCAGUUGUGGUUGUGGUUGUGCCUGUGGCUGG